rnacentral:rRNA from 1 species
UGGGGAAUAUUGCACAAUGGGCGCAAGCCUGAUGCAGCCAUGCCGCGUGUAUGAAGAAGGCCUUCGGGUUGUAAAGUACUUUCAGCGGGGAGGAAGGUGUUGAGGCUAAUAACCUCAGCAAUUGACGUUACCCGCAGAAGAAGCACCGGCUAACUCCGUGCCAGCAGCCGCGGUAAUACGGAGGGUGGAAGCGUUAAUCGGAAUUACUGGGCGUAAAGCGCACGCAGGCGGUCUGUCAAGUCGGAUGUGAAAUCCCCGGGCUCAACCUGGGAACUGCAUUCGAAACUGGCAGGCUAGAGUCUUGUAGAGGGGGGUAGAAUUCCAGGUGUAGCGGUGAAAUGCGUAGAGAUCUGGAGGAAUACCGGUGGCGAAGGCGGCCCCCUGGACAAAGACUGACGCUCAGGUGCGAAAGCGUGGGGAGCAAACA